UGCGUAGGCGGUGCGGUAAGUCUUCUGUGAAAUCUCCGGGCUCAACUCGGAGCCUGCAGGAGAAACUGCCGUGCUUGAGUAUGGGAGAGGUGAGUGGAAUUCCUGGUGUAGCGGUGAAAUGCGUAGAUAUCAGGAGGAACACCUGUGGCGAAAGCGGCUCACUGGACCAUAACUGACGCUGAGGCACGAAAGCUAGGGGAGCAAACAGGAUUAGAUACCCUGGUAGUCCUAGCCCUAAACGAUGAUUGCUUGGUGUAGCAGGUACCCAAUCCUGCUGUGCCGCAGCUAACGCGUUAAGCAAUCCGCCUGGGGAGUACGGUCGCAAGGCUGAA
rnacentral:rRNA from 1 species